GUCCUAAUAGUUUAAUAAAAAUAUUGGUCUUGUAAACCAAAAUUAAGGGUUAUCCUUUUAAGACA
rnacentral:tRNA from 1 species